rnacentral:tRNA from 1 species
GCCUGGGUGGCUCAGUCGGUUGAGCCUCUGACUUUGGCUCAGGUCAUGAUCUCACAGUCCGUGAGUUCGAGCCCCGCGUCGGGCU